rnacentral:rRNA from 1 species
GACGAACGCUGGCGGCGUGGAUUAGGCAUGCAAGUCGAACGGUAUCAUCCUUUCGGGGGUGAGAGAGUGGCGAACUGGUGAGUAACACGUAGGUUAUUCUACCCUCAAGACGGGGACAACCCAGGGAAACUUGGGCUAAUACCGGAUGUGAGCAACUUUUAGUUGUUUGAAAGGUGGCGUAAGCUGUCGCUUGGGGAUGAGCCUGCGUCCUAUUAGUUAGUUGGUGAGGUAACGACUCACCUAGGCAAUGAUAGGUAGGCGGCCUUAACGGGUGGUCGCCCACACUGGGAUUGAGAUACGGCCCAGACUCCUACGGGAGGCAGCAGUCGAGAAUAGUCUACAAUGGUCGGAAGACUGAUAGUGCGACGCCGCGUGAACGAUGAAUCCCUUCGGGGUGUAAAGUUCUUUUAUAUGUGAGCAGUGCUUCUUAUAUUAACAGUAUGGGGAGAGAGAUAUUAGCAUAUGAAUAAGCAACGGCUAACUCCGUGCCAGCAGCCGCGGUAAAACG